AUUGAACGCUGGCGGCAGGCCUAACACAUGCAAGUCGAACGAGUGGCGGACGGGUGAGUAAGGUAUGGGCAACUGCCUGAUGGAUGGGGAUAACAACUGGAAACGGUAGCUACUACCGCAUACCAUCAGAUGGGCCCAGAUGGGUUUAGCUUGUUGGUGGGGGAACGGCUCACCACGGCGACGAUCCCUAGCUGGUCUGAGAGGAUGACCAGCCACACUGGAACGGAGACACGGUCCAGACUCCUACGGGAGGCAGCAGUGGGGAAUAUUGGACAAUGGGCGAAAGCCUGAUGCAGCCAUGCCGCGUGUAUGAAGAAGGCCUUCGGGUUGUAAAGCACUUUCAGCGGGGAGGCGUUACCCGCAGAAGAAGCACCGGCUAACUCCGUGCCAGCCGCCGCGGUAAUAC
rnacentral:rRNA from 1 species